GAUUUAAUUCAUUUGUCUGCAUCGCGCUGAUCGGUUGCCUAUUUGUUCAUAUUAUGUUAUUAACUAUGAUUCGUUUUUGUCUUUAUACUAGAACUGUUUGAAUUUAAACCACAAACAGUAAAACAUUAAGGUUAUACGUGGUACACAGCGGUAAACAUGAGGUUAAAAAUACGCGAAGUAACAUUCAAACCGGGCUGUUAAAAGAAUCAAUUCGAUGUUUAAAUUUUUAAAAACAAAACUUUAAAGAAGCCAAGAUGAGACGUUAUUUGCUUAAAACAAACAAAGCAACAGUAACUCGUGUGUUUGAAAUGUUAGCAGCUAGCAAGUGUCUCUCUGCUAUUUUAAAUGGUACAGACGAUCUUUUGUUGUUUUAAAAGCUCAUUCAGUUCUGGUAGAUGCUGCUUAUUUUUCAAGACUGUUUUAAUAGCUUUAUAUUGAUUUGUAACAAAGCCAGCUUCACUUUAAGAGAACCUAGAUGCUAAUUGUAAAGAAGCUUGGAGUCAUAAUAUAUUUAAACGUUAUAUGUUUGCUGUUCUUCAUCUUUUUAAAUAUGAAGUCUAUACAUGUUUGUGUUUACAGAGGUCAUGUACACUGUGGUCAACUUUGUGGACGAUGAAGAGGUUUCUGGGUAAAGCUGAUAGAAAUAUAAUGAAGUAACAGUGAAAGCUAAAACAUCAGACUGAUCCAGACACUGAAGAAAUUGAUGUCACUGCAAUCUGGCCAAAAUGAUACAACUAUAUUGAAGUAGCCUACUGUAAUGAAGCUGCAGAACAACACAGAGACUCUGAGGACAUCAACACAGAAAAUUAAGGCUCCAAAGAGAUGUCUGUCCAGAUGAGGGUGCAUCAACGUUACCUUUGCUGACAAGUAUAUGCUUUACAAUGUAAAACCUAACAGUUAACUUAACUCAAACCAUUUAAGGAAAUCGGUUGCCUUAACCCAUUAAGUUUAAAAAAAAAAAAACAUACAUUUGAGUACUGUGAACUUAAGUCUUGUGCAAUAAUGCACUUAUAUUUAGUUAGUGUGAACUUAAAUAUAAGUGCAUAACUGCAUGUGACUCAAUUUGUUUAAGUUCACAGUACUCAAAUCUAUGUGUUUUAAAACUUAAAUGGUUUAAUGCAACCGGUUUUCUUAAAUGGUUUGAGUUUAGUUAACUUUUAGGUUUUACAGUGAGAAAUUCUUGAAUAAUUCCAAGACAGAGCUCUGCAAUUGAAUCUACACUGCAAAAAAUUAGUUUCUAACUUAGGAUUUUUAUCUUGUUUUUAGUAGAAAAACUAAAAAUUCUUAAAUCAAGAUGUAUUUUCUUGAUGAGCAAAAUUACCUAAGAAAAUGUCUAGUUUUUAGACAAAAAUAUACAAUUUAAGUAAAUUUGUGCCUAAACAAGCAAAAAUAUCUAACAAUGGGGUGAGAAAAUUGU